rnacentral:rRNA from 1 species
GACGUAGGAGGCGAGCGUUAUCCGGAUUCACUGGGCGUAAAGCGCAUGUAGGCGGCAUGCCAAGUCCGUGGUUAAAGCCCCUGGCCUAACUGGGGGAGGCCUACGGAGACUGGCGGGCUGGAGGGCAGCAGAGGAGCGUGGAACUCCCGGUGUAGCGGUGGAAUGCGUAGAGAUCGGGAAGAACACCAGUGGCGAAGGCGGCGCUCUGGGCUGCACCUGACGCUGAGAUGCGAAAGUGUGGGGAGCGAACGGG